AUGUCCAACAAUUACAACCUCUCGUACUCCAAAUACAGACUUCAUACCCGAUAAUGUAAGAUGAACUUCUCCAAGCCGAGUUAAAAUCUUUUCACAAUCUUCUAUAUGAUCAACAAUAUAUUUGCGACACCCCCUCGUAUCUAACGUUUCAUCCUUGUCUCCUUCUCUGCACCCUUUUAUAGGAACAUCAUCCAGAAAAGGCAUAGUCUUUUUUCGAAUAAAAUCUCUCAAUACCU
rnacentral:lncRNA from 1 species